CUUCACGUGCUAAUGUAUCUUUGCUGUCACUUCUUUGCUGAUUGGACUUUUCAUCUUUUCUGUUCACCUGCCACAUCUUAGCUUUUCCAUUUGGGCUUGGUGUGAAGAUCAUUACCAUUAUCCUUCCGGGAAUUUGGCCCAAUACCUUUUUUUUUAGAGUGGUUAAUGAAAUAUACUCCUUUGAAUUCAAAUGUUUUUGUUUUACUUUUUUAUUUUUCAAUAUACCCAAAUUAUCCUUUUGAAAAGUGCCAUGGACGGAGCACGAAGAAAAGAGGAAGAGAAAGUGAGAGAAAAUGGCAAAGCAGCUACUGGAGAGUGCUUCAGGAGGACGGACGAGUGGAGGAAGCACCCUAGGCUCAUCAAUCAGCUUCGCCACGCCCUUCCUGGUUUUGGCCUCAGAGUCGCCACCUUAGGCGUCUACCUAGACGGUGAGCAGUUUCUUAGCAACCAAACGUACCAUCUAAAGAUUGAAUUCAUCAAAACCAUCAUCGAUUUUUGGUGCAAACUUUGAAUUCGAAUCUUCGAGAUCGAAAAUGAUGCUGAAUCUUGGAAAAUCUCUCACUGAGCAAUGAGUUACAGAAGGUAAUCUUUAUAUUUGGUAAGAUUUGCAUUUCAAGCAGUUUUUUUAGUUUAUAUAUUUUUUGUGAUCAAAGUUCAAUAGUCAAUCAGUCAUCGCCUUUCAUAUUUAAUGCUGUAUAUAUAUAUAUAUAUAUAUAAAUAUAUAUUCUGAAUUUGCUGAAACUAUUACAAUUGUAUCUUAUUGGUUUUCUUUGCAUUUGAAUUUAUGGUUUGCUUCAGUGAAUUUCGAUGAAAAUAAUCUUUUCUGUUACACAAUGUACGAGCUUGAACUUUACAAUUUGGCCAAUACUUAAAUCUUGGUUAAUUAAUAACCCAUAAGCAGGUAAAAAAUACAUCUAUGAAUUGCUUUGUCUGAUAGUCUAUUCUAUGAAUUUACAUGACAUCCAUCAGUAAUUUUUAAAAAUUGAGACUAAUCUGGGCUUAAGAAUUAUUAAACAUUAUGUUUAAUUUCUGGUUUUGGAAGAUAAUUGUUUUCACUAGAUGUUAGGGAUAAGAAGCACCCAGUUAUCUUAGACUUCUUAGUGAGAUAAGGACCACUAAGGAUAUGGUUUCUAUGAGCAUUGUCACACAAAGCAAGGUCAUCCCAAUUAUAUGAUAACGUCUUGCGUCAGCUUCUGACAUUUCCCUUAUCCUUUUUGUUUCUUCCUUCAAAACAUGGUCUUCUUCAUUCAAGAAAAAGGAUUAAACAAUGCCUUUGUUUGUUACCAUGAAAUGUUAAUAUUAAAUUUAUGAUAAAUUUUGCUAUAUAUAAUUAUAUAAUUUGGCUUUUGGUUGUAGUUUUUCUUGUUAUUUUAAAUCCCUUUUCAUUGGUUCACCCAAUUCCACUCUUUGUUAGUUUUAAAAGGCAAUGUACCCAGGUGGUUAUACUACAGAAGUUACAAGCUUAUCUCCAAAAGCAACAAAAAAGGAUAUUUAUGAUUUUUUUUCACUUAUUGUGGUGUAAUUGAGGAUGUUGAAAUCAUCAGGUAGAGUCCUUCUGAACAACUUCUAAUUACUAAUUAUGAUUCCUUUUCCUCGAGUGAAAUCUACAAAAUGAUGGUUUGGUCAUUGAUUAUAUAUGAAUUUAUUGUUCAUAAACUCAUCAAAUUGUUUGGAUGUUAUUUGGUUUGAAAGUGGUCAAAAGAUAAGAAUCUUUUCUGGAAUUUAUAUUACAAUUAUUUAAUUUCCUUUUUUUCUUUUGUCAUUUUAAAUAUCCAUAUGUCAAUUAGUCCAUUUGAGUGUCUUGUAAAAGCUAAUUUAUUCCAUAAGACCCCUGCUUUAAUGGAUUUCUAAAGGUAUAUGUGGAGAAUAUAAAAUAUUUUUCUAUAUGUGGAGAAUAUAAGAUAUUUUUCUUUCCAUCAUUUGGUCAAGAGGCUAAAGCUAAUAUUACUCUUUCCAUCAUUUGGUCAAGAGGCUAAAGCUAAUAUUACUGAGAAGUUCAUAUUCUAAAAUGAGAUUGAAAUGUAAACAUAAUAGAAAUUUUAACUUUUUCAUGAAAGCAUGUUAGGAAUUGUCUUCUCUUUCUUUAUCCUUUUUUUUUUCAAUAAAAUUCAAACUCCAAGCAUGGCAAUAAGUUGGGAAAUUGUUUCAUUAUUCAAUAUUAAUGUGAUGGUUAAUAAUGCUCCUAACGAACAAUAACUUCCUCAAGACGGUUUAUUUCCACAUGUAAUUAUCAAUGUCAGACUAAGAAGACAAGAUCAAAAUUUGAAUCUUAUCUGUAUAAAAGCUGAAACUUCAUGGAGAAAUUUCCAAAUUAUCAUUGCUUUCCUUUGCCACCCUUGCCCAAAAAAAAAAAAAAAAAAGGCACACUUGAAUGCCUUCUAUUAUAUAGAUUCUACAAUUUUAUGUCCUCAUAAAUUACGUGCUGUAGAAACGAUUCCAGAUUAUGAUCCAAGUAGGGAGGUAACUAUCCAUCCAGUGCCAUAUUUCCUUUCAAAUUCUUAUUAACACAAAAGGGUCCUCUCUGUCCCAAUAUAAUUUUAGAAGACCUUUUAUUUGUUUAUUUCUCUUUACAGGUUAGAUUCAAUUGAGUGGUUAUUUUUAGCCUUUUCUAACUUGCUACACUGCACAUGUGCGUAAAUUGUAUGUUAGUAUAAUUGAGUUAUUGGUUUGCUGGAAAUAGGUUUGGUGAGUAUGCCUAUACUGCAUAUGUGACAUUCAAAGAUGCUUAUGCUCUGGAAACCACUAUCUUGCUUAGUAUACCUUGUUGUUUACACUCGUCUAAAAUGAGUACUCAUCUACAUGAGCUAAGAAAAUAAAAAUGUGAGGGUAUAACUGAACAGUCAGUCCCCUUGCCUUUCCUCUCAUUCAUAUUUGUACAAUGGAGUAGAAAAUAAACAAAGAAUUUUUGGUUUUUUAGUUCUAGUCUAUUUGCCACUUUUUCUUCUUCUUCUUCUUUUUUUUUUUUUCCAUGUUCUUUUACACCAGUGCUUGCAAAUGAAAUCCAUUUAUUGAUGACUGAUGAUUUAUGGAUUUCUCAUAGUAAUCCCACUUCAAAGGUUUCGAGCCUAUAGUAUAACAAAGUUUAGUUUUCAUUAGGUGUCAAUAUUCCCCUUGAAUUGAAUUGUUGAACUAUUAAGUAUUUUUAACAUCAACUCUUUAAUUUGACGAGAUUGCUAUUGAUUGGAGAUAUGGUGGAUCAAUUGAUUUGCUUUCUCUUUCCUUAAUUCCUUGUAAUGAUAUGCCGGGGUGCAACCAUUGUAGAUCAGCGAGUAUGCAUAACACAUUAGGGAAUAUAAACGGAUGAAGAUGACAGUUGGAAUAGUAGUCCAUGGAACCAUGAGGGCAAUAGUGGUUCAUUGGUAACAAAUCAAUAGAAAUAAUUUCCAUUGGAUGGGAAAGAUGGGUGCAUCACUUCACAAGUCUUCGAAAGGACAGGCAAUAGGAUUAAAACCUCCAUACCUUAUGGUAAAAUCUGUUUUCAAUAUCCUUUUAUUCUACUUUUAUCUUGUGUAUACACUUAUUUAUAUGGUGAAAAUUAGACACUGACUUUUGUAGCUUGAGCAUGUUUCAUUCUAAUAUAAAGAGAAGUCUACCUCUUAUUUCCUACAUGUACUUUUCUCUUAUUUUCUGUUUCUCUUGAUUAUUUAUUAGCAUGCAUUUCUUCCUCCAUAUUCGAAGUACAAUUUGUUUGUACUUUAUGUCUUGUGUCCACUGUCUUCUUAGUGUUUACUCAUUGAAAUUUAUCUUUUAAGCAUAUCUUAGUUAUGUAGCCCUUGUUUGGGAUGUUUGGAUAUGGAGGACCUAUUGCAUCUAUGCAUCUAGGAAGGUAUGAGUUGCACCUUCAUUUGUGUCCUCAUUCUGAUUGAAUAUUCCUAAAUGUUUAGUUUUACCUUUUUUUCAUUUCACUGUCUUGUCGUAGGCAUGCGCUUGUUUCUUUGAAGACAAAGAAUUCCAAGAAAGUAUAAACGUUACAUCUUGAGAGAGAAGCCUUACUCGGUAGUUCUGACAGUGAACAUACUUGGACGAUAGUUAAGUUGCAUACUAGUUUCUUGAUCUGUCAGAGGGCCAUAUUUUUUAAUGCUUUUAUCUGAUUUCUCUUACAUCUUUGCAAUAGAACCACCAAAUGGUUUUCAAUCUCUUGUACUAAUGGACAACUUCAUUUCCAUUUUAGACUGAUGGUGGUAUCAAAAAUCCCUCAGAAGCUGAAAUUAGGGACACACCCCACGGAGAACUACUCUGUUUCUAUUAUUUUAUACUUUUCGCAUGGUCAAAUUGAGACAGUAUGUGUAUCAAAUAAAUUUAUUAAGAUGUAUACUUUUGUAGGAGCUGUAAUAUUCUCUAGUUUUUAUUCAUAAAACACUUGUACAA